rnacentral:pre_miRNA from 1 species
GAGAUACUCCCUCCGUCCGAAAAUAUUUGUCAUCAAAAUGGAUAAAAGGGGGUGUAUCUAGACAUAUUUUAAUUAUAGAUACAUCUCUUUUCAUCAAUUUUGAUGACAAGUAUUUUCGGACGGAGGGAGUAGAUG